GAGUCUGAACCAACCAAGUAGCGUGCAGGAUGCCGGCCCUAUGGGUUGUAAACUGCUUUUAUAAGGGAAUAAAGUGAGUCUCGUGAGACUUUUUGCAUGUACCUUAUGAAUAAGGACCGGCUAAUUCCGUGCCAGCAGCCGCGGUAAUACGGAAGGUCCGGGCGUUAUCCGGAUUUAUUGGGUUUAAAGGGAGCGUAGGCCGGAGAUUAAGCGUGUUGUGAAAUGUAGACGCUCAACGUCUGCACUGCAGCGCGAACUGGUUUCCUUGAGUACGCACAAAGUGGGCGGAAUUCGUGGUGUAGCGGUGAAAUGCUUAGAUAUCACGAAGAACUCCGAUUGCGAAGGCAGCUCACUGGAGCCCAACUGACGCUGAAGCUCGAAAGUGCGGGUAUCGAACAGGAUUAGAUACCCUGGUAGUCCGCACGGUAAACGAUGGAUGCCCGCUGUUGGUCUGAAUAGGUCAGCGGCCAAGGGAAAGCAUUAAGCAUCCCACCUGGGGAGUACGCCGGAAAGGGUGCAACUCAAAUGAAUUGACGG
rnacentral:rRNA from 1 species